GUCUAUGGCCACACUGCCCUGAUCCCCACCAGAUCCUCUAUGAUUUCAGAAGCUAAGCAGGGUCAGGUAUGGUUAGUACUUGAAUGGGAGAUGACAAUGUCAUACCUGGGGCCAGUGAGC
rnacentral:rRNA from 1 species